rnacentral:misc_RNA from 1 species
AACGCACAUUGCGCCCCUUGGUAUUCCGAGGGGCAUGCCUGUUCGAGCGUCAUUAUAACCACUCAAGCCUAGCUUGGUAUUGGGGUUCGCGGUCUCGCGGCCCUUAAAAUCAGUGGCGGUGCCUUCUGGCUCUAAGCGUAGUAAUUUUUCUCGCUACAGGGUCUGGUGGUUACUUGCCAUUAACCCCCCAUUUUCUAAGGUUGACCUCGGAUCAGGUAGGGAUACCCGCUGAACUUAA